AUGGCGCACCAGAACCUAAACCAGAGGCAGCCACACGGACACCUGAGCCGCCUCUUCCUGCUAGAGCCAGCGAGGUGUGCCCGCAGCCGAGACCCCUUCCUCUCCACGUCUCCUCGUCUCCUUGUCUCCCGUGCCCGCGUCAGGCCGCCAGCCUCGCCCACCUCCCCAGGAAGAGCGCGCCGGGCGCCGACUUCCCCUGGGGCGGCGGCCCUGGACGUGCGGGGGGUCUCUCUGGGCCGGCUGCUGCGCCUUGGCCCUGCCCUCUAGCUCCCGCGCUCGCUCCCGCCCUCCUGGCUCUCCGGGCGCGCCUGGCGGGGCAGGGCGGACAUGGGCACCAAGCAGAGGAGCCGCACGCGCACGUACUGGGGCUCGGA
rnacentral:lncRNA from 1 species